rnacentral:rRNA from 1 species
UCCGUAACGAGCGCAACCCUUGUCCUUAGUUACCUAGCACGUUAUGGUGGGCACUCUAAGGAGACUGCCGGUGACAAACCGGAGGAAGGGUGGGGAUGACGUCAAGUCAUCAUGGCCCUUACCGGCCUGGGCUACACACGUGCUACAAUGGUCGGUACAAAGGGGUUGCCAAGCCGCGAGGUGGAGCUAAUCCCAUAAAAACCGAUCGUAGUCCGGAUCGCAGUCUGCAACUCGACUGCGUGAAGUCGGAAUCGCUAGUAAUCGUGAAUCAGAAUGUCACGGUGAAUACGUUCCCGGGCCUU